rnacentral:lncRNA from 1 species
CCUAAUUGGUUUGAAAAACACUUAAAGAUAAUUAGGAUCAAUUUCCAUUAUUCUAUGUCUUUGCAUCCAGGACAUAGAAUUAGCUAAAACUCAGUGUUAUUUCUUUUUAUCUGUUUGAUUUGUACGUGAUUUAUGUGCUAGUUGAUAUAAAUUUUGUUCAAACAUUAGGCAUGCAUACAUUUUUUGUGAUCCAAGAUUACCAUCUUCAUUAAUGUUACCAAUAAAGUUGCCAUUCUAGAAUGGCGGGAACGUGUUUUAGCUCCGCAACAGCCGCUCUAUGUACGUGAUACAAAUUGUUUUCGGUGGUAUGGAAUAUGGAUGAGCUAAUAUUGUAGCUUGUGCACGAGGAAAUCAGGAGAUCGAUUUUCCACCGACAUAAUGCUUCCAAGAGUACACUCCGAAGGUAAGGGAUCUCGGAUCGUGCUUCUCUCGAGAUCUAUUGAUGCCUCACACAGAUUGAAAAUCGGCUAAGACCCUAAUGGACGAAGGUAUCCCCUGAGAAAUGUAUCGGGGGUCGUUGAGACUCAUCCAAGCAGCUCGGUGCCAGUCCUCGUGCGAUGUAAGAAAAAUGGAUUGUCACAUCUCAUUCUUUUGUUGUACUAUGUAUUCUGUACUAAGUUUGGACGCCCCUAUCUAUAAAAGAGGGGUCACUAGUGCCUUGUAAAACAUCUCCAACUAUC